AGUGAACGCUGGCGGUAGGCCUAACACAUGCAAGUCGAACGGCAGCACAGGAGAGCUUGCUCUCUGGGUGGCGAGUGGCGGAUGGGUGAGGAAUACAUCGGAAUCUACUCUGUCGUGGGGGAUAACGUAGGGAAACUUACGCUAAUACCGCAUACGACCUACGGGUGAAAGCAGGGGAUCUUCGGACCUUGCGCGAUUGAAUGAGCCGAUGUCGGAUUAGCUAGUUGGCGGGGUAAAGGCACACCAAGGCGACGAUCCGUAGCUGGUCUGAGAGGAUGAUCAGCCACACGGGAACGGAGACACGGUCCAGACUCCUACGGGAGGCAGCAGUGGGGAAUAUUGGACAAUGGGCGCAAGCCUGAUCCAGCCAUACCGCGUGGGUGAAGAAGGCCUUCGGGUUGUAAAGCCCUUUUGUUGGGAAAGAGAUCCAGCUGGCUAAUACCCGGUUGGGAUGACGGUACCCAGAGAAUAAGCACCGGCUAACUUCGUGCCAGCAGCCGCAGUAA
rnacentral:rRNA from 1 species